GAUGAACGCUGGCGGCGUGCCUAAUACAUGCAAGUCGAACGAAACUUCUUUAUCACCGAGUGCUUGCACUCACCGAUAAAGAGUUGAGUGGCGAACGGGUGAGUAACACGUGGGCAACCUGCCCAAAAGAGGGGGGUAACACUUGGAAACAGGUGCUAAUACCGCAUAACCAUAGUUACCGCAUGGUAACUAUGUAAAAGGUGGCUAUACUACCGCUUUUGGAUGGGCCCGCGGCGCAUUAGCUAGUUGGUAGGGUAAAGGCUUACCAAGGCAAUGAUGCGUAGCCGAAUUGAGAGGUUGAUCGGCCACAUUGGGACUGAGACACGGCCCAAACUCCUACGGGAGGCAGCAGUAGGGAAUCUUCCACAAUGGGCGAAAGCCUGAUGGAGCAACGCCGCGUGGGUGAAGAAGGUCUUCGGAUCGUAAAACCCUGUUGUUAGAGAAGAAAGUGCGUGAGAGUAACUGUUCACGUUUCGACGGUAUCUAACCAGAAAGCCACGGCUAACUACGUG
rnacentral:rRNA from 1 species